AGUACCAACAGCAGAAGUGCUGCACGUGCCACGAUUGGCCUUCCGCCUGUGUGUACUCGCGAGAGAAAAUGAUCUGUGGAGUAAACUUACACUUUAUUGACCUGUUUGUAUUUUACCAACACAAGGUAACACGAUAAAACUGCUUCGAAUGUGUUGAGACAUACGUACCUCGUCGCAUGCAGAACACCGCGGGUACACGAGCUCCGCGUAGUGGCGACCGCAGUAGAUGUCGCCCACGCGGCAGAAGUAGAUGUUGUCAACGAGCAGCUCCUUGCACGUGGCGCACGUGAAGCAACCUGUAUGGAAGCACGUGCCGGGACCCAGUCGUAAGGCCCCGGUCAGGCACGGGUCCAACGUUGCCGAUCCCAGCCGCUCUGUUGCGUCGUUUUUCCGCGAACUUCUGGAACUUCAACGCCUCCUUCUCCGUCAAACUGUCGCAGAACUUCCCAUGGAGGUCGUGAAGC